UGGGGCAUCGCCAAGCGGUAAGGCACAUGGCUCUGACCCAUGCAUUCCAAGGUUCGAAUCCUUGUGCCCCAG
rnacentral:tRNA from 1 species